rnacentral:piRNA from 1 species
CAAAGAUAAUGGCCUAUGUAAUUCUC